GAGUAAUGUCUGGGAAACUGCCUGAUGGAGGGGGAUAACUACUGGAAACGGUAGCUAAUACCGCAUAAUGUCGCAAGACCAAAGAGGGGGACCUUCGGGCCUCUUGCCAUCGGAUGUGCCCAGAUGGGAUUAGCUUGUUGGUGGGGUAACGGCUCACCAAGGCGACGAUCCCUAGCUGGUCUGAGAGGAUGACCAGCCACACUGGAACUGAGACACGGUCCAGACUCCUACGGGAGGCAGCAGUGGGGAAUAUUGCACAAUGGGCGCAAGCCUGAUGCAGCCAUGCCGCGUGUAUGAAGAAGGCCUUCGGGUUGUAAAGUACUUUCAGCGGGGAGGAAGGGAGUAAAGUUAAUACCUUUACUCAUUGACGUUACCCGCAGAAGAAGCACCGGCUAACUCCGUGCCAGCAGCCGCGGUAAUACGGAGGGUGCAAGCGUUAAUCGGAAUUACUGGGCGUAAAGCGCACGCAGGCGGUUUGUUAAGUCAGAUGUGAAAUCCCCGGGCUCAACCUGGGAACUGCAUCUGAUACUGGCAAGCUUGAGUCUCGUAGAGGGGGGUAGAAUUCCAGGUGUAGCGGUGAAAUGCGUAGAGAUCUGGAGGAAUACCGGUGGCGAAGGCGGCCCCCUGGACGAAGACUGACGCUCAGGUGCGAAAGCGUGGGGAGCAAACAGGAUUAGAUACCCUGGUAGUCCACGCCGUAAACGAUGUCGACUUGGAGGUUGUGCCCUUGAGGCGUGGCUUCCGGAGCUAACGCGUUAAGUCGACCGCCUGGGGAGUACGGCCGCAAGGUUAAAACUCAAAUGAAUUGACGGGGGCCCGCACAAGCGGUGGAGCAUGUGGUUUAAUUCGAUGCAACGCGAAGAACCUUACCUGGUCUUGACAUCCACGGAAGUUUUCAGAGAUGAGAAUGUGCCUUCGGGAACCGUGAGACAGGUGCUGCAUGGCUGUCGUCAGCUCGUGUUGUGAAAUGUUGGGUUAAGUCCCGCAACGAGCGCAACCCUUAUCCUUUGUUGCCAGCGGUCCGGCCGGGAACUCAAAGGAGACUGCCAGUGAUAAACUGGAGGAAGGUGGGGAUGACGUCAAGUCAUCAUGGCCCUUACGACCAGGGCUACACACGUGCUACAAUGGCGCAUACAAAGAGAAGCGACCUCGCGAGAGCAAGCGGACCUCAUAAAGUGCGUCGUAGUCCGGAUUGGAGUCUGCAACUCGACUCCAUGAAGUCGGAAUCGCUAGUAAUCGUGGAUCAGAAUGCCACGGUGAAUACGUUCCCGGGCCUUGUACACACCGCCCGUCACACCAUGGGAGUGGGUUGCAAAAGAAGUAGGUAGCUUAACCUUCGGGAGGGCGCUUACCACUUUGUGAUUCAUGACUGGGGUGAAGUCGUAACAAGGUAACCGUAGGGGAACCUGCGGUUGGAUCACCUCCUUACCUUAAAGAAGC
rnacentral:rRNA from 1 species